AUAUCAAUAAGCGGAGGAAAAGAAACUAACAAGGAUUCCCCUAGUAACUGCGAGUGAAGCGGGAAGAGCUCAAAUUUAAAAUCUGGUGGUCAUACUGGCUGCCCGAGUUGUAAUCUGGAGAAGCGUUUUCCUGUGCUGGACCCGUGUACAAGUCUCUUGGAAUAGAGCAUCAUAGAGGGUGAGAAUCCCGUCUCUGACAUGGGCUGCCAGUGCUUUUGUGAUACGCUCUCAAAGAGUCGAGUUGUUUGGGAAUGCAGCUCAAAAUGGGUGGUAAAUUCCAUCUAAAGCUAAAUAAUGGCGUGAGACCGAUAGCGAACAAGUACCGUGAGGGAAAGAUGAAAAGAACUUUGGAAAGAGAGUUAAACAGUAC
rnacentral:rRNA from 1 species